GGGCGCACGGUGGAUGCCUUGACACUAGGAGUCGAUGAAGGACGGGACUAACGCCGAUAUGCUUCGGGGAGCUGUAAGUAAGCUUUGAUCCGAAGAUUUCCGAAUGGGGAAACCCACCAUACGUAAUGGUAUGGUAUCCUUAUCUGAAUACAUAGGGUAAGGAAGACAGACUCAGGGAACUGAAACAUCUAAGUACCUGGAGGAAGAGAAAGCAAAUGCGAUUUCCUGAGUAGCGGCGAGCGAAACGGAACAUAGCCCAAACCAAGAGGCUUGCCUCUUGGGGUUGUAGGACAUUCUAUACGGAGUUACAAAGGAACGAGGUAGACGAAGCGACCUGGAAAGGUCCGUCGUAGAGGGUAACAACCCCGUAGUCGAAACUUCGUUCUCUCUUGAAUGUAUCCUGAGUACGGCGGAACACGUGAAAUUCCGUCGGAAUCUGGGAGGACCAUCUCCCAAGGCUAAAUACUCCCUAGUGAUCGAUAGUGAACCAGUACCGUGAGGGAAAGGUGAAAAGCACCCCGGAAGGGGAGUGAAAGAGAUCCUGAAACCGUGUGCCUACAAAUAGUCAGAGCCCGUUAAUGGGUGAUGGCGUGCCUUUUGUAGAAUGAACCGGCGAGUUACGAUCCCGUGCGAGGUUAAGCUGAAGAGGCGGAGCCGCAGCGAAAGCGAGUCUGAAUAGGGCGUUUAGUACGUGGUCGUAGACCCGAAACCAGGUGAUCUACCCAUGUCCAGGGUGAAGUUCAGGUAACACUGAAUGGAGGCCCGAACCCACGCACGUUGAAAAGUGCGGGGAUGAGGUGUGGGUAGCGGAGAAAUUCCAAUCGAACCUGGAGAUAGCUGGUUCUCCCCGAAAUAGCUUUAGGGCUAGCCUUAAGUGUAAGAGUCUUGGAGGUAGAGCACUGAUUGGACUAGGGGUCCUCAUCGGAUUACCGAAUUCAGUCAAACUCCGAAUGCCAAUGACUUAUCCUUAGGAGUCAGACUGCGAGUGAUAAGAUCCGUAGUCAAAAGGGAAACAGCCCAGACCGCCAGCUAAGGUCCCAAAGUGUGUAUUAAGUGGAAAAGGAUGUGGAGUUGCUUAGACAACUAGGAUGUUGGCUUAGAAGCAGCCACCAUUUAAAGAGUGCGUAAUAGCUCACUAGUCGAGUGACUCUGCGCCGAAAAUGUACCGGGGCUAAAUACACCACCGAAGCUGCGGAUUGAUACCAAUGGUAUCAGUGGUAGGGGAGCGUUCUAAGGACAGUGAAGUCAGACCGGAAGGACUGGUGGAGUGCUUAGAAGUGAGAAUGCCGGUAUGAGUAGCGAAAGACGGGUGAGAAUCCCGUCCACCGAAUGCCUAAGGUUUCCUGAGGAAGGCUCGUCCGCUCAGGGUUAGUCAGGACCUAAGCCGAGGCCGACAGGCGUAGGCGAUGGACAACAGGUUGAUAUUCCUGUACCACCUCUUUAUCGUUUGAGCAAUGGAGGGACGCAGAAGGAUAGAAGAAGCGUGCGAUUGGUUGUGCACGUCCAAGCAGUUAGGCUGAUAAGUAGGCAAAUCCGCUUAUCGUGAAGGCUGAGCUGUGAUGGGGAAGCUCCUUAUGGAGCGAAGUCUUUGAUUCCCCGCUGCCAAGAAAAGCUUCUAGCGAGAUAAAAGGUGCCUGUACCGCAAACCGACACAGGUAGGCGAGGAGAGAAUCCUAAGGUGUGCGAGAGAACUCUGGUUAAGGAACUCGGCAAAAUGACCCCGUAACUUCGGGAGAAGGGGUGCUUUCUUAACGGAAAGCCGCAGUGAAUAGGCCCAAGCGACUGUUUAGCAAAAACACAGCUCUCUGCGAAGCCGUAAGGCGAAGUAUAGGGGGUGACACCUGCCCGGUGCUGGAAGGUUAAGGAGAGGGGUUAGCGUAAGCGAAGCUCUGAACUGAAGCCCCAGUAAACGGCGGCCGUAACUAUAACGGUCCUAAGGUAGCGAAAUUCCUUGUCGGGUAAGUUCCGACCCGCACGAAAGGUGUAACGAUUUGGGCACUGUCUCAACCAGAGACUCGGUGAAAUUAUAGUACCUGUGAAGAUGCAGGUUACCCGCGACAGGACGGAAAGACCCCGUGGAGCUUUACUGUAGCCUGAUAUUGAAUUUUGGUACAGUUUGUACAGGAUAGGCGGGAGCCUUUGAAACCGGAGCGCUAGCUUCGGUGGAGGCGCUGGUGGGAUACCGCCCUGACUGUAUUGAAAUUCUAACCUACGGGUCUUAUCGACCCGGGAGACAGUGUCAGGUGGGCAGUUUGACUGGGGCGGUCGCCUCCUAAAGUGUAACGGAGGCGCCCAAAGGUUCCCUCAGAAUGGUUGGAAAUCAUUCGUAGAGUGCAAAGGCAUAAGGGAGCUUGACUGCGAGACCUACAAGUCGAGCAGGGACGAAAGUCGGGCUUAGUGAUCCGGUGGUUCCGCAUGGAAGGGCCAUCGCUCAACGGAUAAAAGCUACCCCGGGGAUAACAGGCUUAUCUCCCCCAAGAGUCCACAUCGACGGGGAGGUUUGGCACCUCGAUGUCGGCUCAUCGCAUCCUGGGGCUGUAGUCGGUCCCAAGGGUUGGGCUGUUCGCCCAUUAAAGCGGUACGCGAGCUGGGUUCAGAACGUCGUGAGACAGUUCGGUCCCUAUCCGUCGUGGGCGUAGGAAAUUUGAGAGGAGCUGUCCUUAGUACGAGAGGACCGGGAUGGACGCACCGCUGGUGUACCAGUUGUUCUGCCAAGGGCAUAGCUGGGUAGCUAUGUGCGGAAGGGAUAAGUGCUGAAAGCAUCUAAGCAUGAAGCCCCCCUCAAGAUGAGAUUUCCCAUAGCGUAAGCUAGUAAGAUCCCUGAAAGAUGAUCAGGUUGAUAGGUUCGAGGUGGAAGCAUGGUGACAUGUGGAGCUGACGAAUACUAAUAGAUCGAGGACUUAACCAU
rnacentral:rRNA from 1 species